GACGAACGCUGGCGGCGUGCUUAACACAUGCAAGUCGAACGGUAAGGCCCUUCGGGGUACACGAGUGGCGAACGGGUGAGUAACACGUGGUGAUCUGCCCUGCACUUCGGGAUAAGCCUGGGAAACUGGGUCUAAUACCGGAUAGGACCAUGGACUUCACGGUUUGUGGUGGAAAGCUUUUGCGGUGUGGGAUGGGCCCGCGGCCUAUCAGCUUGUUGGUGGGGUAAUGGCCUACCAAGGCGACGACGGGUAGCCGGCCUGAGAGGGUGUCCGGCCACACUGGGACUGAGAUACGGCCCAGACUCCUACGGGAGGCAGCAGUGGGGAAUAUUGCACAAUGGGCGCAAGCCUGAUGCAGCGACGCCGCGUGAGGGAUGACGGCCUUCGGGUUGUAAACCUCUUCGUAUAGGGACGAAGCGCAAGUGACGGUACCUAUAGAAG
rnacentral:rRNA from 1 species